CAAUAUCGGAAUAUUAAAUAUCAGUUGGGGAAACACAAGUCACACGUGGCUGAUUUUUAACCGCUUGUAUAAAUAUGACUGUGUGGCUUUUCAAAUUUAGGCAAAGGUUGAGGUUUCAUCCCGCGUUCUGACGUGCUGUUUUGUGGGUUAAGGAAAUUAUCAGCAGAAACAUUCGGUAAUAUCUUGAAAAUGAACGCAAUUUCCCUUUAUCAACG